UAUUUGGUAGGUAUCUUAUGGGAAUGUGUAGAAGUAAUAAGAGUUCUCAUUAAUCACUUCCAUCCAUUGGUGUCUUUCAUCUUGUCUUGGUAUAAUUGAUUGACUUUGUGAUAUGUUUUUCAAGCUAUUCUGUUGGUAUGUCAAGGGAAUGUGAAGUUAACAUUGGGACAGGUUUGUUAUUUUAUCUCCAAAAAGCUUUAGGUUGUCAAACAACAACAAAAUUCCAAUUGGAUUACUUCAACGAUUCUAGUUCACUCAAAGACCACAAACCAAGCUUCGACGAUGUUCAGAGAAGCCAAGACGUCCUUAUGAGAAGGAACAUUGAGCUGAAGCUUGUUGGAGAAUAUGGGCUUCGGCACAAGAGGGACUUGUGGAGGGUCCAGUAUGCUUUGAGCCGCAUCCGUAAUGUUGCUAGGGAACUUCUUACUCUGGACAAGAAAAAUCCUCGCCGUAUCUUUAGACCCAGUUGUGGUUAUGUUUUAUUUUGUUUAAUGUGCUUAUGGGACGUUGUCCUAAUUGGAAAAAGUGUUGUGGUUGUACUUUGACUAAAAUCACUUGAAAUCUUCCUGGAAUCACAAUAAAAUAUUCUUACUAAUGUUUUGAGCAUACA